rnacentral:rRNA from 1 species
AAAGGUAUUGUAAACAGUUUUACCCGGGGGAACGGCGACCCAUCGGCGAUUUUUUCUUACAACAAGGAUGGAGUUGAUGUGUUGUAUAGUGCAGCAUGGGGAGGCCAUCUGGAGGUUUGUAAGUAUUUGGUGGAGGAUCUUGGGGGAGAUGUGAAUGCUCCUGGAAUUGGAACUGUAGCUCUAGGUACGACUCCGUUUAUGAUGGCAGCUCAGUCUGGCGAUGUUCCCACUGUCAAGUAUCUUCUUGAUCAUGGUGGUGAUCUAAUGAAAGCAGACCACAAGGGACGCACAGUUCUCCACCAUGCUGUGUCGGCAGGAUCCUGCAAGGUAACAGAGUUCCUCCUUUCAAAAGGGGUGCCAGUCGACAUAGACUGUGGCCGUGGACCACCACUCUUCAUGGCUGCUACAAAUGAGCAGGAUAAGGCACUGAAGAUUUUAUUGGACCACCACGCAAAUCCUAACAUCAUUAUCAGCGGUGCUAUUACUCCCCUUCUGGGUGCUCUUUACAGUUCAUUGAAGUGCACGAAGCUACUCAUUAAGGCUGGUGCCGAUGUUAAUCUCAAGGCUUCCAUUAUGACACUUUUGGUGUUUGCUACGCUGCAAGGAGGUUAUACCAACUUCAUUAAGUUUCUGUUGAAGGCUGGAGCUGAUCCUAAUAUUCCCGAUGAUUUGGGUAGGUUACCAGUAGAGCUUGCUGCAUUACAAAAUUGCAAGGAAGAGGUUGAAAUGUUGUUGCCUUUGACUACACCAAUUCCAACUCCCAACUGGAGUAUUGAGGGGGUAAUUUCUCAUGUGAAAAUUGAAGUUAAAAAGCUAAUGGAGCAAGGGCACCGUGAAAGAAGAAAAUGUUUGCUCAAGACACAGGCUGAUACAACAUUCAAGCAGAAGGAAUAUGAGAUGGCAUCAGAGUUUUAUGGCCUGGAAAUAGAUCAUGCAGAGAGUGCAGCACUGUAUGCAAACAGGAGUGUCUGUAAACUGCUCACGGGUGAUGGUGAAGGUGCUUUGUCAGAUGCUCUUAGGAGCAGAAUGCCGCGACCUGAUUGGGCAAAAGCUUGUUAUCGUCAAGCUGCAGCUCACAUGCUACUCAAGGAGUAUAAACAAGCCUGUGAUGCUCUCUUGGAUGCACAACACUUGGAUCCUGGGAAUGCUGAGAUUGAGCGUGAACUAUGGAAGGCUAGGGAACUCGUGAAGAAUCCUCCCGGCGAAGGUGAGCAGUGA